AUACGGAGGGUGCAAGCGUUAAUCGGAAUUACUGGGCGUAAAGCGUACGUAGGCGGUUCGUUAAGUUAGAUGUGAAAGCCCCGGGCUUAACCUGGGAACUGCAUUUAAAACUGGCGAACUAGAGUUGAGUAGAGGGGAGUGGAAUUUCAGGUGUAGCGGUGAAAUGCGUAGAGAUCUGAAGGAACACCAGUGGCGAAGGCGACUCCCUGGACUCGAACUGACGCUGAGGUACGAAAGCGUGGGUAGCAAACGGGGUUAGAAACCCCAGUAGUCC
rnacentral:rRNA from 1 species